UACGUAGGGUGCGAGCGUUAAUCGGAAUACUGGGCGUAAAGCGUGCGCAGGCGGCGCGUUAAGACAGAUGUGAAAUCCCCGGGCUUAACCUGGGAACUGCAUUUGUGACUGCAUGGCUGGAGUGCGGCAGAGGGGGAUGGAAUUCCGCGUGUAGCAGUGAAAUGCGCAGAUAUCAGGAGGAACACCAAUGGCGAAGGCAGCACUCUGGGACGUGACUGACGCUGAGACGCGAAAGCGUGGGGAGCAAACAGG
rnacentral:rRNA from 1 species